GUCCAGAAGACAGGGGUCCGAGGGUCAGGAAGCAGGGAGUCACAAAGUCAAGGGUCCGAGGGUCAAGAAGCAAGGAGUCACAAAGUCAAGGGUCCGUGGGUCGGGAAGCAAGGAGUCAAGGAGCCAAGGGUCCGAGGGUCGAGAAGCAAGGAGUCAAGAAGCCGAGGUCCGAGGAUCAGGAAGCAAGAAGCCAAACGCAGCAAGGCAGGAAACGUGUCGCUUUACCAAGCAGCCUCAUCUGUGCGGCCACGCCUUGCCUCUCCAGAACAAACUUAGGAAGGCCCCAGUCCUGCAAAGCCCUACUGGUCACAGG